rnacentral:rRNA from 1 species
UACAGAGGGUGCAAGCGUUAAUCGGAGUUACUGGGCUUAAAGGGCACGUAGGCGGGCGACCAAGUCAGAGGUGAAAGCCCACGGCUCAACCGUGGAAGUGCCCCUGAUACUGGUUGUCUUGAGGGAGAUAGGGGCGUGCGGAACUUCCGGUGGAGCGGUGAAAUGCGUAGAUAUCGGAAGGAACACCGGUGGCGAAAGCGGCGCGCUGGAUCUCUACUGACGCUGAGGCGCGAAAGCCAGGGGAGCAAACGGG